GAUGAACGCUGGCGGCGUGCCUAAUACAUGCAAGUCGAGCGAACAGAUAAGGAGCUUGCUCCUUUGACGUUAGCGGCGGACGGGUGAGUAACACGUGGGUAACCUACCUAUAAGACUGGAAUAACUCCGGGAAACCGGGGCUAAUGCCGGAUAACAUUUAGAACCGCAUGGUUCUAAAGUGAAAGAUGGUUUUACUCUCACUUAUAGAUGGACCCGCGCCGCAUUAGCUAGUUGGUAAGGUAACGGCUUACCAAGGCAACGAUACGUAGCCGACCUGAGAGGGUGAUCGGCCACACUGGAACUGAGACACGGUCCAGACUCCUACGGGAGGCAGCAGUAGGGAAUCUUCCGCAAUGGGCGAAAGCCUGACGGAGCAACGCCGCGUGAGUGAUGAAGGUCUUCGGAUCGUAAAACUCUGUUAUUAGGGAAGAACAAAUGUGUAAGUAACUGUGCACGUCUUGACGGUACCUAAUCAGAAAGCCACGGCUAACUACGUG
rnacentral:rRNA from 1 species